AUUGAACGCUGGCGGCAUGCCUUACACAUGCAAGUCGAACGAAGUCUUCGGACUUAGUGGCGGACGGGUGAGUAACACGUGGGAACGUACCUUUUGGUUCGGAACAACUCAGGGAAACUUGAGCUAAUACCGGAUGUGCCCUUCGGGGGAAAGAUUUAUCGCCAUUGGAGCGGCCCGCGUCUGAUUAGCUAGUUGGUGAGGUAAAGGCUCACCAAGGCGACGAUCAGUAGCUGGUCUGAGAGGAUGAUCAGCCACAUUGGGACUGAGACACGGCCCAAACUCCUACGGGAGGCAGCAGUGGGGAAUCUUGCGCAAUGGGCGAAAGCCUGACGCAGCCAUGCCGCGUGAAUGAUGAAGGUCUUAGGAUUGUAAAAUUCUUUCACCGGGGACGAUAAUGACGGUACCCGGAGAAGAAGCCCCGGCUAACUUCGUGCCAGCAGCCGCGGUAACAC
rnacentral:rRNA from 1 species